rnacentral:rRNA from 1 species
UACGUAGGGUGCAAGCGUUAAUCGGAAUUACUGGGCGUAAAGCGUGCGCAGGCGGUUAUGUAAGACAGGUGUGAAAUCCCCGGGCUAACCUAGGAACUGCAUUUGUGACUGCAUAGCUAGAGUACGGUAGAGGGGGAUGGAAUUCCGCGUGUAGCAGUGAAAUGCGUAGAUAUGCGGAGGAACACCGAUGGCGAAGGCAUCCCCUGGACCGGCAUGACGCUGAGGCGCGGAA